rnacentral:misc_RNA from 1 species
CCGAGUUAUACAACUCAUCAACCCUGUGAACAUACCUAUAACGUUGCCUCGGCGGGAACAGACGGCCCCGUAACACGGGCCGCCCCCGCCAGUGGACCCCCUAACUCUGUUUCUAUAAUGUUUCUUCUGAGUAAACAAGCAAAUAAAUUA